GAUGAACGCUGGCGGCGUGCCUAAUACAUGCAAGUCGAGCGAACGGACGAGAAGCUUGCUUUUCUGAUGUUAGCGGCGGACGGGUGAGUAACACGUGGAUAACCUACCUAUAAGACUGGGAUAACUUCGGGAAACCGUAGCUAAUACCGGAUAAUAUUUUGAACCGCAUGGUUCAAAAGUGAAUGACGGUCUUGCUGUCACUUAUAGAUGGAUCCGCGCUGCAUUAGCUAGUUGGUAAGGUAACGGCUUACCAAGGCAACGAUGCAUAGCCGACCUGAGAGGGUGAUCGGCCACACUGGGACUGAGACGCGGUCCAGACUCCUACGGGAGGCAGCGGUAGGGAAUCUUGCGCAAUGGGCGGAAGCCUGACGGAGCAACGCCGCGUGGGUGAUGAAGGUCUUCGGGUCGUAAAACUCUGUUAUUGGGGAAGAACAUAUGUGUAAGUAACUGUGCACAUCUUGACGGUACCUAAUCAGAAAGCCACGGCUAACUACGUG
rnacentral:rRNA from 1 species